UAGAAUUCAAUAAUCAACACAACUUUACGUGAACAACUACCAUAUCAAUUCAAAUUGAGUUGCUAAUUAUUUCCUCAUUUUCUUUCACGAAUAUGCUUAAUUUAAAAAAGAUGUAAUUGAUUCUUUAGCAAUAUUAAUUGUCUGAAGGUGAUAGUGAAGAAAUAUAUACCUGAAUAAGAGUCUCGUGCUGAUAACGUAUUGUAAUAUAAAUACCGAAUAAUAAAA
rnacentral:lncRNA from 1 species